UCGGCGAGCUUCAGAGAUCUGGCCAAUCACAGGACUUCCUCUUUCCCCGGAAAGCCAAUCAUCACCCGUGUCUCCGCCUCAGUAACAGCCCGGCUGGAACCAAUGGGAGCAAGAGGCAAGGUCGACUGUUCGCAGGGAAGCACUCUGUCAGGGUGCGCCACACUGCGGCCAACCCUGGUGAGUGCCUGCGCCCCAAGGACCCUCGGAGUUUGUCAGAAUUCUCCACUCCAGAGGCAAGUAAACACUUCACUGUGGCCGAGCAGAGCCCAAGCUGGCUGCCCCCACCCAAGUCCUGCAGGGACCCAUGGAGUAGACGUGGGCAAAUGGGGACCUGGGACACAAGAUACCAGAAGCAGAUCUCUGCUAGGGAAGUGGUGCCCAGGGCGCUACCAGUUACCAGGAAAUGAAGCUUCCCCUUCUGCGAUGAUGACACUUCCCCUCUGCCACUUCCCCUUUCCCACGGGGAACUGACUCAGCUUUCCCUAAACUAGCGAGUUCUGUCCCUCCAGCCCCUGAUCUUCAACCUUUAUUCACAAACCCUUACACAGGCACCUGGGACUAUAGAGCACACACUUAAGGACAAAACUUCCUAUAUACUAGUCACAUUCACUUUGCCAGCCACCUCGGAUCCUGGUUCCCACCCAGGACCCAGAAGCCUAACUCCCACCCACCCCCUCCCCCAUAGCCCUCCCUCAGGGUCUGAUUCAGGCUUGGGGUGGCAGAGCGUGAGUCACCCAGAAAACCUUCUUCCCUAGUUCCCACUGACUCAGCCCCCGCCUCCCCGAACUCACACAGACACACAGUCAGAGACAGACACAACUCCUCAGCCCACACACUGCUCACCACUGGUCCGGUGGAAUUUCCCCUCUAGUCUCUCUCAUGACAACCCCUCCCCCGCGUCGGGCAGCCCCGUCGCCGCAUUCACACCUGUUCCCCGGCGGUCGGGUCGCAGUACACUCUCACCUCCACUUUCGCUUCGGAGUAAGAACAGCCCUCCCCGACUCCCAGUGUCCAUACUAACCAAAGGGAGAGGACAACCACUGACAGGCGCAAAGACAAGACACCCACAGACUUCUUGAAGACAGACAAGAGGUAGACGCGCAUGGCCAGAGCCAGGUUGGGAGGACGACACUUCGGAGACAGACAUUCCAGCCUCUCCCAACCCGGCCCACAAUCCCCAGAGUCAGCGGCUCUGAAGGGGUUAAUUCCACUCCUGCAGAGACCACGCCCUCUCCAUCCGGGCACUCCCGGCAAAGCCCAGCUCCUCCCCCUCCAUCCGGGCUCUGGACUCCGGGACUUUGACCGACCCCCUCCUGGUAGAGCCCCAAGAGAGAACCACUCCAUCAAUCACACCCACUUAACUCUCUCUGGGCUUAAGGUGGAGGAGCCCCUCCGCGCGGCGCCCGAGCCGUACGGACGCAUGGUCAGAGACCUGCCGUGCCCAUGCAGACUCAGUACCGCCAAGGACUAGACCCUGCAAAUGGGGUUUUUACCGAGCAGAUAGCAGACUGCAGGAGCCCAAGGUGGGGUUGGUCCAGGACCCCGCUGCAUCCCGCUCCCGGUCUAUUCUACCUGGUGGAAGCGAGGAGUUAGAGACUCGCUUCCUACCUGGGAGAGGGGGGAGGCGUUGGGGAGGGCCGCCAGCGGAGACUACGCUGUGACUCAGCCACCCGGGCAGACCGCCCGCCCGGGAUUCCCUUCCCCAGCCUUCCCCCGCCGCCGGCCCCUCCCCGCCUCCCAUCAAGGAGUGACACUGCUGGCCCUGGCCCGCUAUGUGUCACUGCGGGCCUUGUGUCUGCUUCUGACUGGGCGCUGUGUUCACCAAUCUGUCUGACAAGGUCGGCAGUGAGUCCCGGUGUCUGUCUCCGCGUGCACCUGCAUAUCUGCUCAUCUUGUCUCCUCAGUGCCUGUGUCUGACGCGUUCCUGUCAUUAUCCCUGUCUACAUGACUCCGCAGGGCUGUCUCUGUCUGUGUGUCUGCCUGGCUCCUGUCUCGGUCUUUUGUCUGGGUCUGCCUCUGCAUCACUCGGGUGAUCACGUGUGUCUCUGCACAUGCCCUUCUGUGCUUGCCUUCAUGUUCCUGAACAGAGUCAGGGAAACACUGGAGCAGGCUUACCCUACUGACUCCACGCCUCACUCCCCUGAAUCCUGACGUCUUGCAGAAUCAGCGAUCCUUCUGUGAGUCAAUUACUUGGGGGUCUGUCUGCUUUCAAUCAAGUUCUGUCCCAUUUCUUAACAUCCUUGCUUAUCCUCACAGCUCCCUGAAGCUCCUAUUAUGACAAUAAUUGCGGCAUUCAUUGACUACUUAUUAGAUGCCAGGCACUGUUAAGCAUUUUACAUACUUUUUUUAAACUCUUCCCCAAAACUUUA